rnacentral:rRNA from 1 species
AUACGUAGGGGGCGAGCGUUGUCCGGAAUGAUUGGGCGUAAAGGGCGCGUAGGCGGCCCGGUAAGUCUGGAGUGAAAGUCCUGUUUUUAAGAUGGGAAUUGCUUUGGAUACUGUCGGGCUUGAGUGCAGGAGAGGUAAGUGGAAUUCCCAGUGUAGCGGUGAAAUGCGUAGAGAUUGGGAGGAACACCAGUGGCGAAGGCGAAUUACUGGACUGUAACUGACGCUGAGGCGCGAAAGGGUGGGGAGCAAACAGGAUUAGAUACCCUGGUAGUCCACACUGUAAACGAUGAAUGCUAGGUGUAGGGGGUAUCGACCCCUUCUGUGCCGCAGUCAACACAAUAAGCAUUCCGCCUGGGGAGUACGGCCGCAAGGUUGAAACUCAAAGGAAUUGACGGGG